rnacentral:rRNA from 1 species
GACGAACGCUGGCGGCGUGCUUAACACAUGCAAGUCGAACGGAAAGGCCCUGCCUUCGUUGGGUGCUCGAGUGGCGAACGGGUGAGUAACACGUGAGUAACCUGCCCUUGGCUUUGGGAUAACUUCAGGAAACUGGGGCUAAUACCUGAUAGGAGCUGCUGCAGCAUGGGGGGGGUUGGAAAGUUUCGGCGGUUGGGGAUGGACUCGCGGCUUAUCAGCUGGUUGGGGGGGUAGUGGCUUACCAAGGCAUUGACGGGUGGCCGGCCUGAGAGGGUGACCGGGCACAUGGGUACUGAGAUACGGCCCAGAGUGCUACGGGAGGCAGCAGUGGGGAAUAUUGCACAAUGGGCGGAAGCCUGAUGCAGAAACGCCGCGUGCGGGAUGACGGCCUUCGGGUUGUAAACCGCUUUCGCCUGUGACGAAGCGUGAGUGACGGUAAUGGGUAAAGAAGCACCGGCUAACUACGUG